rnacentral:rRNA from 1 species
AUUGAACGCUGGCGGCAGGCCUAACACAUGCAAGUCGGACGGUAGCACAGAGGAGCUUGCUCCUCGGGUGACGAGCGGCGGACGGGUGAGUAAUGUCUGGGGAUCUGCCCGAUAGAGGGGGAUAACCACUGGAAACGGUGGCUAAUACCGCAUAACGUCGCAAGACCAAAGAGGGGGACCUUCGGGCCUCCCACUAUCGGAUGAACCCAGAUGGGAUUAGCUAGUAGGCGGGGUAACGGCCCACCUAGGCGACGAUCCCUAGCUGGUCUGAGAGGAUGACCAGCCACACUGGAACUGAGACACGGUCCAGACUCCUACGGGAGGCAGCAGUGGGGAAUAUUGCACAAUGGGCGCAAGCCUGAUGCAGCCAUGCCGCGUGUAUGAAGAAGGCCUUCGGGUUGUAAAGUACUUUCAGCGGGGAGGAAGGCGAUAAGGUUAAUAACCUUGUCGAUUGACGUUACCCGCAGAAGAAGCACCGGCUAACUCCGUGCCAGCCGCCGCAGUAA